rnacentral:rRNA from 1 species
AGUGAACGCUGGCGGUAGGCCUAACACAUGCAAGUCGAACGGCAGCACAGUAAGAGCUUGCUCUUACGGGUGGCGAGUGGCGGACGGGUGCGGAAUACAUCGGAAUCUACUUUUUCGUGGGGGAUAACGUAGGGAAACUUACGCUAAUACCGCAUACGACCUACGGGUGAAAGCAGGGGAUCUUCGGACCUUGCGCGAUUGUAUGAGCCGAUGUCGGAUUAGCUAGUUGGCGGGGUAAAGGCCCAACAAGGCGACGAUCCGUAGGUGGUCUGAGAGGGUGAUACGUCAAAAUGGGAACGAGAAACGGUCCAGACCCCUAAGGGAGGGAGGAGUGGGGAAUAUUGGACAAUGGGCGAAAGCCCGAUCCAGGCAUGCCGCGUGGGUGAAGAAGGGCUUUGGAUUGUAAAACCCUUUUUGUUGGGAAAAAAAGAAGUAAGUUAAAACCCCGCUGUUUUGACGUUUCCCAAAGAAUAAGGCCCGGGUAAAUUUGUG